GGACUACCCGGGUUUCUAAUCCUGUUUGCUCCCCUUGCUUUCGCGCCUCAGCGUCAGGAGAAAGCUAGAAAACCGCCUUCGCCACCGGUGUUCUUCCACAUAUCUACGCAUUUCACCGCUACUUGUGGAAUUCCAUUUUCUCCGCCAUCCCUCUAGAUUCACAGUUUCAAAUGCAGCUCCGAAGUUGAGCUUCGGAAUUUCACAUCUGACUUUCGAAUCGGCCUACGCGCCCUUUACGCCCAAUAAUUCCGAUUAAUGCUUGCACCCUCCGUAUUACCGCGGCUGCUGGCAC
rnacentral:rRNA from 1 species